ensembl:lncRNA
CUGCUCUAUUACUGUAAGUUACUUAAACAAGACUUUCUUGUUUCAAGGCCUGAAAACAGCACAGCAAAAUGCUAAUGUGUUUUUUUUUCUUUUCUUUUCUUUUUUUUUUUUUUGGUAACUUUAAUCAUGUUUCUGUAUUUCAGGGCCGGAAUGUAAUCAUAGAAGUUAACGCAGCUCUUCAGAUUGUUCUUCUUUCUACGUGAUGCUGAACUUCUAGUAACUUAGUCAUCAUCGGUAGCUAUCUCAAGCCUAAGAGGAAGUGGUUGAGAGGAGAUAUUCUUUCUCUACUGAUCUCAAAAGAAAAGACCAUGAAUAAUUUUACAAGCUUCUAAUAGUUUGGACCGCAAAAACACAUACAGUGGAAAACAGUUUACUGCUUCUUUGUACUUUCAAAGACUUUUUUUUUUUUUUUAAUAUUAGAAAUUGAAUAAAAGCCAUAAUUUCUGUUGCCUUGAUACAAUCCCUUUCCACAGUCCAAUGAAGGAAUCUUUCUCUGGGUUCCUCUGUUCAUUAGUAUAAACCUAGUGAAUAAAUUAAUCUGCACUACAAAGACACUAAAACAGCUGGGACGUCACUCCUAAUAACCCUCUACCAUUUGUACAUGUGG